rnacentral:rRNA from 1 species
AUUGAACGCUGGCGGCAUGCCUUACACAUGCAAGUCGAACGGCAGCACGGGUGCUUGCACCUGGUGGCGAGUGGCGAACGGGUGAGUAAUACAUCGGAACGUACCUUAUCGUGGGGGAUAACGCAGCGAAAGCUGUGCUAAUACCGCAUACGCCCUGAGGGGGAAAGCGGGGGAUCGUAAGGCCUCGCGCGAUUAGAGCGGCCGAUGUCUGAUUAGCUUGUUGGUGAGGUAAAAGCUCACCAAGGCGAUGAUCAGUAGCUGGUCUGAGAGGACGAUGAGCCACACUGGGACUGAGACACGGCCCAGACUCCUACGGGAGGCAGCAGUGGGGAAUUUUGGACAAUGGGGGCAACCCUGAUCCAGCAAUGCCGCGUGAGUGAAGAAGGCCUUCGGGUUGUAAAGCUCCUUUGUCAGGGAAGAAACAGCAGCUCUAACACAGUCUGCGAAUGACGGUACCUGAAGAAUAAGCACCGGCUAACUACGUGCCAGCAGCCGCCGUAA